CCUCACCGUGUAACUGCACGUAUGCCUGCCUUGUCACGGUGUGAAAUCAGGUCCACGCAGAAGUGCCGUGGAAGGUGUAGACCUUGAUAACUGUGUCAUGGUGUGGAACCUGGCGGAAAUCGAGAAUCACCAGCUUUGCGGGCGAAAGAUGGACGUUUGAAGCAUAGACUGCUGUUGACUGGAUACUUACUGAGAGCACAAAAAUGACCUCAGGCAGAGAUCCACCCAGAGUUAGGAAGAAACUUCAUCUCACUUGGCGUACUACUGCACAGCUAGCCAGCUGCAGUCCAGGACUCCAGAACUUUGAUCAGAAGCAUCUGGUCUUGGUUGUGGAAACAAGAUAGUCUCCGGGAAGGAAAACAUGGCAUCAAGUGACAGUCACUGAAAGAAACCCCACAACACAAUGCCCUGCAGGCCCCCAUCUUUGGGGGCUAGAGCUCCCUGUCAGCUGCGGUGGGGGUUCCCUCAAGCGGAGGCCCCAUCAUGGAGAAAUGGGAGUGGAGCCGCCAGAUCCUGAGCAUCAUACCCAGGGCUUCUAGAAGUGGGCCAUGGACAUCUUCCACAGCCACAGGUGGAGGCCCUGAGAAUGACACUAAAGACUGGCUUGAUUUGUUUUACUCAUAUUCAAAGAAGUGUUGAUGGAACAACAAUUCUGCUAAGCAUGGGAAGUACAAAUCAAGCUAAUUUUGGAGCGUCAGGCAUGAUGUGUUUGGGACAGAAGAUUUCCAGAUAACCAGAGAAUCUUGUCAUCAGUACAACACCUUCUUAGAACUUGAUUAUUACCUACCUGAUGAACCGUGGAGCCACCAGAACCCUGAGCAUCAGAAGAACGGGUCACAGGAAGUGGAGCCACAGAUACAGAACAUUCCAUCACUGCAGAAAGUUCUGUUGUACUGUGCUACUCAGGAGCUGCGAGGGUGAGGAUAUACUCAUGCUUGUCUACUUACUUCACUUCCGAGAGAACGGAUCGCUCUCCAUCUGAACA